GAUGAUGGAGAACGAUGAUGGAGAACGAUGAUGGAGAAGGAAUGUGGGAAGGAUGAUGGGAAGGAUGAUGGAGAACGAUGAUGGAAAACGAUGAUGGAGAACGAUGAUGGAGAAGGAAUGUGGGAAGGAUGAUGGGGAAGGAUGAUGGGAAGGAUGAUGGAGAAGGAAUGUGGGAAGGAUGAUGGGGAAGGAUGAUGGAGAACGAUGAUGGAAAACGAUGACGGAGAAUGAUGAUGGAGAAGGAAUGUGGGAAGGAUGAUGGGGAAGGAUGAUGGAAAGGAUGAUGGGAAGGAUGAUGGAGAACGAUGAUGGAGAACGAUGAUGGAGAAGGAAUGUGGGAAGGAUGAUGGGGAAGGAUGAUGGGAAGGAUGAUGGGAAGGAUGAUGGAGAAGGAAUGUGGGAAGGAUGAUGGGGAAGGAUGAUGAGAAGGAUGAUGGGGAAGGAUGAUGGGAAGGAUGAUGGGAAGGAUGAUGGGAAAAGAUGAUGGGAAAGUAUGAUGGGAAGGAUGAUGGGAAGGAUGAUGGAGAACGAUGAUGGAGAAGGAUGAUGGAGAAGGAUGAUGGGAAGGAUGAUGGAGAACGAUGAUGGAGAAGGAAUGUGGGAAGGAUGAUGGGGAAGGAUGAUGGGAAGGAUGAUGGAGAAGGAUGAUGGGGAAGGAUGAUGGGGAAGGAUGAUGGGAAGGAUGAUGGGGAAGGAUGAUGGGAAGGAUGAUGGGAAGGAUGAUGGGGAAGGAUGAUGGGGAAGGAUGAUGGAGGAUGAUGGAGAAGGAUGAUGGGAAGGAUGGUGGGAAGGAUGAUGGAGAAGGAUGAUGGGAAGGACAAUGGGAGGAUGACCGAGAAGGAUGAUUGGAGGAUGAUGGGAAAGGAUAAUGGGAAGGAUGAUGGCAACCAAGACCAACUCAUCUUCACCAAGCUCAUGGUGUAGCCAGAAAGUUGAUCACCCACAGCAGCACUGCCCACCAGAAACAGACUGAGAACCUCCUACUUUUUUUUUUUUUUUUUUUUUGAGACAAUAUGUUGCUCUAUCACCCAGGCUGGAGAGUGCAGUGGUGCAAUCAUAGCUCACUGGAGCCUCCAACUUCUGGGCUGAAGUGAUCUUCCCACUUCAGCCUCUGGAGUAGCUAGGACUAUAGGCAUGUGUCACCAUCCCUGGCUAAUUUCUUUUUUGUGUGUGGAGAUGGGAUCUUGCUAUGUUGCCCAGGCUGGUCUUUAACUCCUGGCCUCAAGCAAUCCCCCUGCCUUAGUCUCCCAAAGCACUGGGUUUACAGGCAUGAACCACCAUGCUCGGCCAUUUUUAAAUUUUCUAGUAGUUGUAUCAAAAAAAGAGAAACACGUGAAAUUAAUUUUAAUAAUACAUUUUAUUAACCCCCAUAUCCAAAAUAAUAUCAUUUCUGCAUAUGAACAUUACAGGUGAGAUAUUUCACAUUCUUCUUUUAAUGCUGUCCUCCCAGCCUGGCAUGUUUUGCACUCUCUGCCUCAGUGUGGAGCGUCCACAGUUCCAGUGCUCCAGCGUCACCUGUGACCUGUGGACGCUGUGUCGGGCAGCACAGGUCUAGAGAGUAGAGCCUAGGACUGAUCCCUUGGGCCAAUGGUGCUCAGCCAUGGGUGUUGCUGCCCCCAGGGGACACUUGGCUAUGUCUGGAGACAUUCUUGGCUGCCAGGACCAGGAGUGCUGAUGACAUCUAGUGACUGGAGAACUACAACGCUGUUCCUCCCAAGAGAAGACCCUCAAAUGUCAAUGGUGUCAAGAUGGGGAAAUGCUGCCUUAGUGGAUGGGCACUUAUUAAUCGCCUACUGCAUACAGGGUGAGAUCGGCAGGGCGUCCUUGGCAUACAGCAGAUUACUCAUGCAGAACGGCUCUGCUGCCAGCUCUGUGCUCACAGGCGCCACCCCACGAGCUGUUCCAUGCCUAUCACCAUGGACAGAGGCGGAGGUCACAAAGCCAGCAGGAGUGUGGACCUAGGACUCAAGUCCAGAAUGUUCUUGGCCCUGCACUGUCCUGCCC
rnacentral:lncRNA from 10 species